rnacentral:lncRNA from 1 species
GAAUGUGCCAGGGUCAAGUCUGCACUGAUUUUCAUGGUGAAUAGAUUACAUGCUUGCAUUCAUGUUCACUUCCGAAGCGCUUAGUGUCUUCCUUCCCUCCCUUACAUAUUAACCUCAAAUACCCCGUGCGGCUCCAGCCAAGCCUCGCCAGAGGUACUUAGCAAUAUUGGAUUCCC